rnacentral:rRNA from 1 species
GAUGAACGCUGGCGGCGUGCCUAAUACAUGCAAGUCGAGCGAAUGGAUUAAGAGCUUGCUCUUAUGAAGUUAGCGGCGGACGGGUGAGUAACACGUGGGUAACCUGCCCAUAAGACUGGGAUAACUCCGGGAAACCGGGGCUAAUACCGGAUAACAUUUUGAACCGCAUGGUUCGAAAUUGAAAGGCGGCUUCGGCUGUCACUUAUGGAUGGACCCGCGUCGCAUUAGCUAGUUGGUGAGGUAACGGCUCACCAAGGCAACGAUGCGUAGCCGACCGGAGAGGGUGAUCGGCCACACUGGGACUGAGAGACGGCCCAGACUCCUACGGGAGGGAGCAGUAGGGAAUCUUCCGCAGUGGACGAAAGUCUGACGGAGCAACGCCGCGUGAGUGAUGAAGGCUUUCGGGUCGGAAAGCUCUGUUGUUAGGGAAGAACAAGUGCUAGUUGAAUAAGCUGGAACCUUGACGGUACCUAACCAGAAAGCCACGGCUAACUACGUGCCAGCAGCCGCGGUAA